rnacentral:rRNA from 1 species
GUGAACCAGUACCGUGAGGGAAAGGUGAAAAGAACCCCGGAAGGGGAGUGAAAGAGAACCAGAAACCGAAUGCCUACAAAUAGUCAGAGCCCGUUAAUGGGUGAUGGCGUGCCUUUUGUAGAAUGAACCGGCGAGUUACGAUAUCGUGCGAGGUUAAGCAGAAGAUGCGGAGCCGUAGCGAAAGCGAGUCUGAAUAGGGCGAAGAGUACGAUGUUGUAGACCCGAAACCGUGUGAGCUAGCCAUGAGCAGGCUGAAGGUCAGGUAACACUGACUGGAGGGCCGAACCAGGGCACGUUGAAAAGUGCUUGGAUGACUUGUGGCUAGGGGUGAAAUUCCAAUCGAACACGGAUAUAGCUGGUUCUCUCCGAAAUAGCUUUAGGGCUAGCCUCGAUGUUAAGUCUACUGGAGGUAGAGCACUGAAUGGGUGAUGGCCCCACCUCGGGGUACUGAUCUCAAUCAAACUCCGAAUGCCAGAUAGAUAUCAUCGGGAGUCAGACUGUGGGUGAUAAGGUCCAUGGUCAAAAGGGAAAGAGCCCAGACCGCCAGCUAAGGCCCCCAAGUGUCCGUUAAGUGGAAAAGGAUGUGGAGAUGCACAGACAACUAGGAGGUUGGCUUAGAAGCAGCCAUCCUUUAAAGAGUGCGUAAUAGCUCACUAGUCGAGUGACUCUGCGCCGAAAAUGUACCGGGGCUAAACGGACCGCCGAAGCUGCGGAUUGACUUUAGAGUCAGUGGUAGGAGAGCGUUCUAACAGCGGUGAAGCAGUACCGGAAGGAGCUGUGGAGCGGUUAGAAGUGAGAAUGCCGGUGUGAGUAGCGAAAGAUAGGUGAGAAUCCUAUCCAUCGAAAGCCUAAGGUUUCCAGGGGAAGGCUCGUCCGCCCUGGGUAAGUCGGGACCUAAGGUGAGGCCGAAAGGCGUAGCCGAUGGACAACAGGUUGAUAUUCCUGUACCACUUAUUAAACUGAUGGAGUGACGGAGAAGGCUAAGUUGAGCGUGUGAUUGGAUUCACGUGUAAGCAGUGAGGUGGUCAUGUAGGCAAAUCCGCAUGGCAUAACAUUGAGCUGUGAUGCCGAAGCCGACUGGCGAAGUCAACUGACGUCACGCUUCCAAGAAAAGCUUCUAGGGUUAAUUUAAUAAGUGCCCGUACCGAUAACCGACACAGGUAGGCGAGGAGAGAAUCCUAAGAUGAGCGAGAGAACUCUUGUUAAGGAACUCGGCAAAAUGACCCCGUAACUUCGGGAGAAGGGGUGCUUGUGAAAGCAAGCCGCAGUGAAUAGGCCCAGGCGACUGUUUAUCAAAAACACAGGUCUCUGCUAAACCGCAAGGUGAUGUAUAGGGGCUGACGCCUGCCCGGUGCUGGAAGGUUAAGAGGAGAGGUUAGCGCAAGCGAAGCUUUGAAUUGAAGCCCCAGUAAACGGCGGCCGUAACUAUAACGGUCCUAAGGUAGCGAAAUUCCUUGUCGGG